CCAAUGGUUACACCUCUCACACUAUUGCAUGUUGUCUGGGUGGCUGGGUAGGGGACACAUUACUAUUUCUUCAGUCCAUGUGUCUGCCGGCCAAGGGGGACUCAAAGAGCAACGCUUGAAGAAUCUCACCCAAGAAUCUCAUCUGUUCCUGAUUUGGAUGCUGAAGUUUUAAAUUAUGAGCCGUAAUAUGAGACUUCGGGAGGAGGAAUCCAGCCACCACGUAAGGACAUGCAAGGGGCCCUCUGGGGAAGUCCACACGGUGAGGAGUGGAGGCCUCCCACCAAAAGCCAGCCCCAGUACACCAGCUACAUUAGUCACCCAUCUUGGAAGAAGAGCCUCCAGCCAGUCAAGCACGUAGAUGACCGCAGCCCCACCAACCUCUUAGCUGCAACAAAUGAGAAAUCUCUCUUCAGCCAAGUCACUCCCGAAUUCUCGACCCGCAGAACCUAUGUGAGCUAAUAAAUGUUAAUUGUUGCAUUGA